rnacentral:rRNA from 1 species
UACGGAGGAUGCAAGCGUUAUCCGGAAUUAUUGGGCGUAAAGCGUCCGUAGGUGGUUUAUCAAGUCUGUGGUUAAAGAGUGGAGCUUAACUCCAUAGCGGCCAUGGAAACUGGUAGGCUAGAGUGCGGUAGGGGUAGAGGGAAUUUCCAGUGUAGCGGUGAAAUGCGUAGAUAUUGGAAAGAACACCGGUGGCGAAAGCGCUCUACUGGACCUGCACUGACACUGAGGGACGAAAGCUAGGGGAGCGAAAGGG